AGUGAACGCUGGCGGUAGGCCUAACACAUGCCAGUCGAACGGCAGCGCAGUAAGAGCUUGCUCUUAUGGGGGGCGAAAGGGGGGCGGGUGAGGAAUACAACGGAACCUACUUUUUCGUGGGGGAUAACGUAGGGAAACUUACGACAAUACCGCAUCAGACCUACGGGUUAAAGCAGGGGAUCUUCGGACCUUUCGCGAGUGAAUGCGCCGAUGUCGGAUGAGCUAGGUGGCGGGGUAAAGGCCGACCAAGGCGCCUAUCCGUACCUGGUCUGAGAGGAUGAUCAGGCACACUGGAACUGAGAGACGGUACAGACUCCUACGGGAGGCACAAGUGGGGAAUAUUGGACAAUGGGCGGAAGCCUGAUCAAGCCAUACCGCGUUGGUGAAGAGGGGCUUCGGGGUGGAAAGCGCUUUUGUUGGGGGAGAAAACCAUCAGGUUGAAAGCCCGCUGUUCUGACGGUACCCAAAGAAUAAGCACCGGCUAACUUCGUG
rnacentral:rRNA from 1 species